AACGAACGCUGGCGGCAUGCCUAACACAUGCAAGUCGAACGAGACCUUCGGGUCUAGUGGCGCACGGGUGCGUAACGCGUGGGAAUCUGCCCUUGGGUUCGGAAUAACAGUUAGAAAUGACUGCUAAUACCGGAUGAUGUCUUCGGACCAAAGAUUUAUCGCCCAGGGAUGAGCCCGCGUCGGAUUAGCUAGUUGGUAGGGUAAAAGCCUACCAAGGCGACGAUCCGUAGCUGGUCUGAGAGGAUGAUCAGCCACACUGGGACUGAGACACGGCCCAGACUCCUACGGGAGGCAGCAGUGGGGAAUAUUGGACAAUGGGCGAAAGCCUGAUCCAGCAAUGCCGCGUGAGUGAUGAAGGCCUUAGGGUUGUAAAGCUCUUUUACCCGGGAUGAUAAUGACAGUACCGGGAGAAUAAGCCCCGGCUAACUCCGUGCCAGCAGCCGCAGUAACAC
rnacentral:rRNA from 1 species